rnacentral:rRNA from 1 species
UACGUAGGGCGCAAGCGUUAUCCGGAAUUAUUGGGCGUAAAGAGCUCGUAGGCGGUUUGUCGCGUCUGCCGUGAAAGUCCGGGGCUCAACCCCGAACUUGCAGUGGGUACGGGCAGACUAGAGUGUGGUAGGGGAGACUGGAAUUCCUGGUGUAGCGGUGAAAUGCGCAGAGCUCGGGAAGAACAUCGGUGGCGAAAGCGCUCUGCUGGACUGCAACUGACACUCAGGGACGAAAGCUAGGGGAGCGAAUGGG